ensembl:lncRNA
CACAAAGGUAGGAAAGUUCAAAGUUUGCCAGUGGCAAAUCGAAUUGACUUGCCGUCUCUGCAUGUUAGUCCAGAGUUUUAUUCAGCUGUCAUUGCGCUUGUCAAGGAACUCGAGCGACCAGGAAAGAAUAAGGAAGAAAAGGAGGAACUAAGUAAAGAGGGGAAAAAAAGAUAGCAAUCUGGAAUCGGCACUGUAUAGAGGUACAGAUUAGUAUGUCCUUUCUCCUUUUUCUUCUCUUUGAAAGCAGCCUUUGUGUAUCUCUCUCUCUCUCUCUCUCUCUCUCUCUCUCUCUCUCUCUCUCUGUUCUUCUGCAGUAAUAUGAUCCUCUGAUCCAGGGAUAGACUGAGUCCCACUUUCAACACUCUUCCCUUCAGUCUGAAUGCAGUAUGUGUACCUUGUGCAGGCAGCGCAUAUUAUAACUGCGUGAAAAUCAGCAAUAGGGUUAUUAAAGGUUCCAGAGGGUUCUUGUUUCAAAUCCCAGUGACUGCUAGAUGCUUGCAUUGGAUUCUGCUUCACAUGAAAGUAAGUUAUAAAACAUCUGCCAAAAAAAUACAUGUAAAUGAACAGUCUUUAUAUAUUUCUCAGCUAGGAACAUUUGCAGAAUAGUAUUGUAGUACUGCUAUAAGGGUAUUAUAUGUAAGGGUAGUAUUGUAGUACUGUUAUAAGGGUAUUAUAUAUAAGGGUAGUAUUGUUGUACUGUUAUAAGGGUAUUAUAUGUAAGGGUAUUAUUGUAGUACUGUUAUAAGGGUAUUAUAUGUAAGGGUAG